rnacentral:lncRNA from 1 species
AAAACUUACCUCAAGAAUUCUGUCUUCUAGAUAAAACUGAAAAGAAGUCUCCCGUGAUGGCAGAAACAGGAAUAGGGGCCGCUGGGAUCGCGCUCAUCGUCAUCUUCAUCUUUCUCUUCCUCCUUGGAGCCUUCGUCAUCUGCAAAUACACCCGGUGUGGUGGGUUCAGGAAAACAACAGCUAAAUAUUUGGGAGGAAACAGGAGAAACAGAACAGGAAAGUAACACCACAGGGUUGAUCCUGUGUCUUUUAUCCCCAGGGGCAGCUCCCGACAAGAUGAGCAAACGGUAGGGCUACUCAGAGGAUCCCAUCAGCCCAUACCCAACUCUUCCUCCAUUGCUGCCUUGACUACUCAAGACCUUCUUUCUUACCUCAACAUUUCACGUGGCCCCAACCAGCCCCAGCGACCAUCCCAAGUGUCUCUCUGCGUCCUCUCUUCUUACGACCACCCUCCACUUCUCACUCGGUGUUCUUUCCUUGGAUCCUUUCCUCAUGGACCACACUGCCCCCAACCACUUCCCCUCCUCAGCUCUCAAGACUUUGCUGAGCACCUGAAUGACUUGGGGACCCCAGGGAGGGGCAUAUGAGUGUGGAGGAAGUGGGGGGGACUUUGGUUUACACAUAAUCUUGCUUGGCACCUCACCUCCACCUGCCCACAAUGAUCCCAGUGUCUCACUCCCAUUUCCUUUACCUCCAGUGCUUCACUGUUUCUCUCUUUUAGCUCCUACUCUAAGGAACCUGAAGAAGUGGGAACAAGUAUUCAGCCUGAGAAAGAAAGUGGUGACCCAUCCGCAGCUACGACGAGCUGCUCACCUGCCUCGGAUAAAGCAUCCCAGGUCUCAGAAGCUGAGGAACCCCACGGAGUGACUUACGCUGAGCUGAACACCAGAGCCCUAAGUGAGGGUCCCUCCAGCCAGACAGAGCAGCCCCUGGAAACCUGUGUGUACUCGACCCUUAAGGCAUAGCCAGGAGAACAGUUGGAGCCUGGAAAGGAAGAACUUCCACCAAGGGGAUGGACGAUGGAGAGAGGACCCUGGAGGCACCAGGCAAAUGGGGAUCCCUUUCCGCAAAUCUCCAAUGAAGACUUGUUCCCUUCCAAAAGUUUAUUUUUUUAAAAAACGAGAGGUAUCAUUUGCAUAGAUCAGAUGCAUGCGUCAUUUGCAUAUAUUUGCAUACACAUGAUCUAUUUCUACCUAUCCCCUUUGGUAUAACCACCGUCCAAAUAAAAACAGUAUUUCUAGCA